GCUCGUUGCUGGUCGUAGAGGAGGACGCCGAAGACGACGAAGCAGGGUCAGAGUCUCCGUUGGCCGCGUUGUUCUUGGCGGCGCCUGGCUUCUCCUGCUGCUGAUGCUCCUUCUUCUUCGGCGACGCCUUCUUCUUCAGGGCGUGCAGCUUGAUGACGGUCUCUUCCUCCUCGGCGGUGAAGUUGCCGCGCCUCAGGUCCGGCCGCAGGUAGUUGAUCCACCGCAGCCGGCAGCUCUUCCCACACCGCAGUAAACCUGCCAAAAAAAAUAAAAAUAUCCAACAUCCAUAUUCAACUCCCGCUCUCUCCUUUGAUACAUGGAACACACAUUCUGAGGGAGGCGAUCAUGUCAUGGUAACCAGGGGAGCCUGCUGCCUACCUGCUUGCCUUGGGAGGGCGCGCCAGUUGGGGUGGCCGUGCUUCUGGAUGUAGGCGACGAGGCGCAUGUCCUCCUGCGGCGUCCAGGAGCCCCUGUUCAGGCCGACCUUGGCGCAGCACGGUGCCCUGCCACGCCCCAUUUUAUAUGGACAACUCCUCUGCUUGUUCUUGCUCUACUCGGUCUGCUGAAGAAGCUGCCGAGUCCAGGAAAUGGUUGGACGAUGCAGAGCAUGGAUCGAGGGGAGGCACGGGUAUAUAUGCACCGAGAGUCUGAGAGACUGGUCGCCAGUACUGUCUCUGGGCUGGGGGCGGCCUGUGGUGACAGGUGACAAACAAACGCAGCAGUUGGAGGAGACCCCACCGCUCCUCCUACUACCUCCGAGACCAUUUGCGUUCUACCAAACCCCUGUCCCCAGAAAGCAACGUCUUGUUGGCCGCUCCAGCGUCCUCCGGCGUUCGUGGCUCAGGUUUCCCCCCCUGAGAGAUCGAUCGGUCAUGCGCUGCAGGGUCUAGCUCGCAAGCUUAGCUGCCGCUCAACACACUGCUGGUAGCAGUACACCUGGCACGUAUACUUGCUUCAGAUCAGGACGAGGGAUUUCUAAGGAGGAGUAUUUUUUUAGAGUACCCCGAAAGUUUGUAUUAGAGUACUUCGUGAGUGAGUGAUUGGACUUUUUCAUGAUUGGAACUAAAUAGAUUGUGUCUGUUUGUUAUGAAUCCAUCCUUCAAUGUUA